UGACCACCCCAUAAAUUUUUAUCAUCAAACCGACUCACUUGUUCACAUUCCACGUUUUUUAGAUCUCGUCGCCCAAUUUAUUUCUUUACCAGACCUAUACAUUAUUUUACCCAACAUCUACUGACUUAAAAAUUCAUAAGAGAGAGCCGCCUAAAUCCUAACUCAUCCAGACGUGACUGGAUGCUGUGUCACAAUGACUUUUCUCUCGAUCCAAACAAAACAGAGAGAAAACUAAAAUAUACUCCGCUCUAUCUAUCUAUCUCUGAUCGGA
rnacentral:lncRNA from 1 species